UUUUCAGUGCACAAGGGUGAACUCUUUCACAGCACUGAGCAGCUUUUCCAGUCCGCAGAUUUCUGGUCCAUUCUGUACGAUUGGCAACAUUUAAAAGUCUGAAGAACACAUCAAGGAAUGAUGCUGUAAGUGCGUAGCCUUGACAUCAGGCUGAACAAAGAAUUUUUCAUUUACUUGAGUGAGGGCAACCAUAUUUCUUCAAGCGCACUGUGUUGUCUAGACUCCAGUGCAAUAACAGAUUAUGUCUUCCAUAAUCAAAUUCCCGUUUUCUUUUGUUGAAGUCUUAAAUUCUCCAAGCAGAUACUAAUACAGCUUCAUUUUUCGUCUUUUUCCUGUUGAAAUAUCUCUGGUAUUUUGUAGAAGCGCGGAAGUAUCAUCGAUACUUCACUCAAAAAAAAAAAACAAACAAACCGCGAAGUAGUGAAUCCGCGAUAUAUGAACCGCGAAGUAGCGAGGGAACACUGUAACUGGGUAAACCUACGGGGCAAAUACGGAUAGAAAGUGCUCGUUUGUCAAGAUGAUUAGUUAGACCUUCACUUCUUUCUCAUCUUCUCUAGAUAUUACGACUUGCGAGAGAGGUAAAAUCACCGCAAAAUAUUAUGUCUUCACUGUUCAGAUUCAAACUUAUGCUGUUGCUGUCAGACACUACAAUACUAUGUCUGGCAGGCUGACUGACACAUCCCCUCCCAGACUUGUGCCUGGGGCAACACAGUGCUAGCAGGAACACUGAGUCACAACGUGAGACAGCCGUAGACAGAACGUAGCUCCGAGCACAGACUUUGUCCUUAGUCAACCGGUUGGCGAUGACUCGUCGCGCCCUUCUCUCAAGCUGCUCUCUCUUUUUCUUCUCCCCUCAACCUCUUGUCCUCCCUUUGUAUAUCUCCCGGUAGGGGUAAUGUGCCAUGUUUCCAGGAUGUCCUAUAAACACAGAUGGGACAACACAGACAGCGGUUCACGUGCUCUAGCCCAGAUGUCAACAAAUCACGUGCAGUCCGCAGGUUGCGAGACUCACCAUGACCAGAGCUCGUGCUCACCUGUGUGCAAGCUACGAAAAGACUUCUCGCCAGGUCAAUUCUGUGCAGAGCUGCACGACUGUAAAGCAUCAAACUACACUUUCUAGCAAAGAUAACAGGUUUGGUAAACCAGCUUUUAAAACCAGGUCAGGUCAGCCCAUAAGGUUAUUCCCAUUCCUUCCUUUUCCACCAACCUCACUCCUUGCUUCCCACACCAUAUACUUCAUCAAUUAUCUUCUUUAAUCCCAGACAAAUUCUUUUUCCCUCUUGUCAUCAUUUCAUCAUUUCCAACCUCUUCCCUUCCCACAAACCUUCCAAUAGCCUCACUAUUUUGCAAUUCUACACAUUUGCUUCACACCAAUUUCCAAACCUUCUCAACUUUUCACCUCUACCUCUCACACUUUGUUACCAUCCAACUCCCUCUCUCUCCUUCCCUUACAAAUCCAACUUUACCCCUUUCUCCACCCCUUUAUUACCUUUUCCUUUCCAUCAAACCUUUCCUAUCUCUUCCUUCCACUUACCACCCCUUCAUUCACCUUCUCUUCCUUCUCAACCCUUACUGCCUUCCAACCUUCCCGACGAGACGGACAAGUGGUGCUCAUGGCAGUUACCGAGUGUGCAACGCUUCACCAUCAGCAUCUGUCUGGUCGCAGACACAGGACGAGAGAGACAUGAGGUGGCACAUGUUAGUGCCAGAGCACUCUACGCUUCAUCAUCAGCAG
rnacentral:lncRNA from 1 species